rnacentral:pre_miRNA from 1 species
AUUAUACUCCCUCCGUUUCAAAUUACUCAUCGCAGAAAUGGAUGUAUCUAGAAUUAAAAUACAUCUAGAUACAUUCAUACCCGCGACAAGUAAUUCGGAACGGAGGGAGUAUGUG